AGAAAGACCACAGACCCAGAAAAAGCUUCUUCAGGGAGUGCCGUUAUAAAGGCAAGACUCCCGACCGACAACUCGACUCAAGCAACUCAACGUCCCAUAGUACAUUUGUUUACCUAGCCAUGGCUGCUGCUCGGCAGUGUAUUUAAUUAACUCGCUUUUCACUCACGCCCUCCUCUAGACACGGGCAAGUGUGUGCACGACUGAGCGGGGGUCGCCUGGAACAUGAAAAAGACGGGCACCAAAGCCAAAAAUAAGAGCAGGAUCAACUCUGUCCCCUGUGACGACAGUGUCCACAUAGGUGACCCUGGGAAGGAUGACGGGACCAUGGAGUCCGUGCUCGCCUCUGUCCACCCGGGGGACGCUGGGGUCAAGCUGAAGGCCGAGGGCCACGCAGGGAGCUCCGGAGGCCUGCUGGAGACGGUGGAAGAGGUGGUGGAGGCCCCAUGGGGGGAUAUGCCAGGCCCUGACCUCUCCCAGGCCUACGUGGUGGAUUUGACGCAACAGUUCAAUCGUGUAUUCGUCCAGACAACCUUUAAUAGUUUCAAAGAGUUUGAGAUGCUGUUCAACAAAUUUAAAGCAGAAACUGGUUCAGUAUUUCGAAUCAAGUCCUCAUGCAGUAUUGCCUAUGAAAAUUCUCGUAGGAAGAAGCAUUUAAUUCCGUCCCGGUUCAAGUUCGUCACCGUGCAGUACUGCUGUGUGCACUACGGCCAGCCCAAGGUGGCUGGCCAAGGCAUCCGCACCAAGCAAAGAUACCUCCCCUGUGGGUGUGAGUCCAUGCUGUCACUGUCGUACAACCGUGGCGCCCUCGUCAUAUCUCAGGCCAACAUGCGACACAACCAUGAGGUGAGCAGCGAAAUGGCGCCCUUUUAUGCCAUCAACCGCCGCAUCACCAACGCCGAGCUGCUGGAGGUGGCCGGGGCUGUGGAGAUGAUCCCCAAUAGCAGAAGCCUCAGGCAUUUCCUCCAGAUUCACUUCCAGCGCCCCACCACCCUCCAGGAUGCCAAGAAUGUUCGAGCUCGCCUCAAGGCCCUCAAGGCACCUCCUGUCACGUCCAUCGCCAAGCCUCAUGUGGAUGAGGAGCAGCAGUUUUCACCGCAGGAGGAAGAGGAGAAGGAAGAGGAAGAAGCAAUGAUGGAAUGUACUGAGGGAGGUGCUGAUGAUGAUUAUGAAGAGGAGGAGAUAGAAGAAAGAGUUGAAGGUGAUACAAAUUAUUAUGGAAGGCAAGCUGAUAGACACAAAACAUCAAUAAACCUUGGGCAGGAGGAAGAGCAAGAGCAAGGAUGUGAACUUGACCCAAGACUCAAAAAAGAAGUCAUCAGCAAAAUUAAAGAAAGACUCCACGGGACUCUAGAAGAGUGUGAUGCUCAAGUGUUUAUGAAACGUCUGUCUGUCAUUGAUAGUCUCAUCGAAGGCUGGGAGAAAGAUAACUUGAAUUAUGCACAAAACACAAAAAAGAGUGGCAGGAUGGGUGGACUUGAAAACACACACAGUAGAAACACACACCUAGCCCAGGAAAGGACUGGUUUUACUCAGAACAAUAGAAAUGCAAAUUUCCAGGCAAAUAUUGACAAUCUAAACACUUCAGUGCCUGCCUUGGGGGUAGGGAGGACAGUGUUUCUUCCCACACAGUCAAAUGGGAAAUUAGUGCAUUUGAAUAACAGAAAUCAGUCUGCAUUCACCAAUAUGGAGAUGAAUGGAAGGCAAAACAUCAUGAAGUUUACCCCUAGCUUUGAAAAUUCAGUUAAUUAUUCCAGAGCAGAUGAACAGAUGUCAAGGAUAGGUGAAACUAAUGAAAGAAAACCUAUAAUUCUCUCCAUAGCAAAGGGACUGGUUGAUGGUGAGCAGCCAGUAGAAGUGGAAAUAGAGGUGGAUGGUGAAAUGGCAAAGGUAAGGGCUGUGAAGAGAGAGCCCUUAGACUACCAUGAAGUGAAUGUUGGUGACUACUGGUGAAGUGAGUGGUGAACUGUGCAGGUCCAUCACUGUACACUUUGAAUCCAUUUUCAUAUACAUUUUACUUCUAUUACCCUGAACUGUGAAAAUACAGGUAGUAAUUGAUCAGAACAAGGGCAGGCAUCUAACUAAAUAUUACUUCUGUUCACCCAUCUCUCUUGUGACUUCAGGAUAUCUGGCAAGAACACACUCAUCCGCAUGGAAAGGCUUCUCUUGAGGUCAUUAAUAAACUGGUGGAUAUAUAUUUGCAACUACCUUCACCCCCUAAAGCUUCAUUGCUUCCACUUGUUUCUAUUUUUAUUAGUGUCUAUAACUAGUGUUUUUUUGUGUGCAGGAAUUUGCAAAACUGUGCCAUUGUUCUUGAAAAGUACCUUAAUUUUGUUCAAUAGUAUAUAUUAGCAUGCACUUUUUUUUAUGAAAGAUUACUUACACAUCAGUUGGCAAAAAUCAGUCAUUUUUCUAUUCCACUCAAUAGUCAGCCUGUGCAUAUUCUGUCACAGCAGUGGUGGUGCUGUGGAAGGGAUUAGGCUCUGGAAUCCACUGCCCCCCCCCCCUCCCCCCCAUCACUUUUUUUCACCAAAGAGGCUUCCUCCCCUAAACUUCCUUUAAAAUAAAAUAAACUUGGAGCUGCCACUGUACCAGAUAAUUUGCCUGGUUUUGUUCUCGUUUAUCCACUUGUGAUCCUUGUGAUGGUUGGUAUGUAAUGUAUGGUAAGAAAGAAAAUAAUAUAUUAAAACUAUCUGGAAAACAAGACAGAAAAACACAGGAACUGCAGCACAACUAAUGAAACUGUCUAGUGGGAGCCGAUGCCAAGGCUUAUCCCACGCCUACUACUGAACUGAACUGAAUUGCCAGCAAGAGAACACACCAGACCAAACCAGCAAGAACUGAGUGAACAUCAACAUGGGAGAAGGCAGGCCUGUGUCCAUGGGUGGAGAAACGGGGGACUUUGCCACACUAAUAAGCAGGAGGGAGAGUACUGGAGACAAGAAAUGGCCGACGAGGAAGUUCUUCUUUGUGCACGCAAAUUGGAGGAGGAGGAGGAGGCAGGCAGGCACUGAGUGGAGCCAUGGGUGCCAGGAAACCCCUUGCAGCAGGAAGCCACGUCCUCCCCUCAACAUUUCCACAUUUUGGCCUCAGAU